UCAAUUUUUUGAACGUUAGUGCCGUGUUUUGCGUCCAGUCUCGAGGAAACCAGACCCAGUCGACAGUUUCGUAUUGUUUGUGAGUCUACUCAGAGAAAUUCAGGCGUCUGCUCCAAUGGUCUGAUCAAAAUUUAAUUGAAAACAGGAAAAGUUAUGCGGUUUUUCUCUCCGUCAAGCGGGCUUUCCUUUUCCCGCUUCUGUGCCUUUUCCUGUUUUUUUUUCUCUUCCUCUUUCUCCGGUCCGCCCGUGGAUCGAUCGGCGUCGUUCAGCUUUCCUGGCAUCAUUCAGUGAACCUUUCGGCCCUCGCUCAACUGGAAAUAACUAUGAAAGAGAGGUACACUGUCGGUGAGGCGUUAUUUCAACCUUCCGUUUUGGGCUUCUAAGAGCAUGGUAUUGUUGAGUAGCUUCUGCGUUGUAUCUCAAGUGCUUCAUAUGAGAACCAUAGGCAAUUGUUGGAAAUAUUGUGGUUUGUGGAUUGUAUCUAUGACUGUGGUCCCUGCGGUCGUGCGAACAGUUGCUUUUGGUUUCUAGGGUUUUCUCUUCCCCAUCUGAGAGAGACCUCACGCGCACCGCACGUAUCGUGGAAGAUCCUACCGCGAUCUACUGUCCGUGCAUUUCAGAUGGAUUUAGCCGACUAUCACUCGGCACCAUGUGGGCCAAAUAGGCUUGAAAAAGUGAGUCUGUGACAACUUGAUUCUUUUGAUAAAUAUAAUCUUAUCAAGUUCAUGGGUGUGUGUGUCACAUUCUUAUAGAUUCUUUGAAUUGCAUAUCAUACAUUGCUUAAGUUUGUAGGUUGAUUGACUGAAUAUCUAUUAUUUUGUAUAUGUGUCUGGUCGUUGGUGCAUAAACACCCAUGAGUUUGUAUAUGUGCAUGUGUGUGUGUUAUUUCUGUGCAUGAUUUAAGUAUUUGCAUGUGUCUAGCCAUUGUAAACAAAUGAAUACCAAAUAAGGUUUCAAGUCAUUCCGUGUAUGUCAUUUUGAAUAUUAUAUCCAACAACAUGCAUAUGUGGUAAUGACCUUUCUUUUUUUGGGCUUGAAUGGUGCACUGGAUGAAUCGAAACCAAGAGGACAACAAAGAUAUAGUUAGGAAUUGAAACUGCUGGUGCACUGGAUGAAUGGUUGAAGCACUGAUGGGUGUGAUCGGAGCUCGGAAGACAACCCUCAUGGACGUUCUUUCUGGGAGAAAAACUGGAGGUGUUAUUGAGGGGACAUAUGGAUUGGAGGAUAUCUUAAGGUCCAGAAGACAUUUGCUAGGGUAUCUGGAUAUUGUGAACUGACUGAUAUUCAUUCUCCAUAUAUUACUGUUGAAGAAUCUCUUAUCUACUCUGCUUGGUUGAGAUUAGCCUCUGAAAUUGAUCCAAAGACUAAAAGGAGUCCGACUCUCCCUCUCUCCGUCUCUCGCCUGACGCCUCUCGCCCCCUCGCGCAACUCUCCCGACGAUUACCAUGUCGUCCCCUCAUCAGUCAUCCCUUCACGUAAGUCUCCUCCUCUCUCUAUCCAAACCGACACCUAAACCCUAAUUUUUCUUCUUAUAUUCCCCCCUCCCUCUGGGCCGUUUGUUUGAUGGUUCUCUCGCUAUCUCUGGUUUUAUUUCCGUUCAGGAGAAAAAUCGAGGUGCUCCGCAGGAAUGGAUGCACUCUGGUAGGUGAGUUCGCUUUUUCUGCUACUGGAGUUCCCUUUUAUUUUUGAACCUCAUACUUGUGAUCACGUGGGGAUCAUCUUGAUUUCUUGUUUGAAAAGUUUAAAGGUCAGUAAUGACGUUGAACGCGGUUGAAUUUCUUGGUCAGUAUCACUAGUAGGGUUAUUUUUUGUUAGAUUAGUGCACUUAGAUUAUUUGCACGUGCACGUGUGUUGCUCUCUUUGCUGCCUAAGUUGAUCAACAAAAUUCUAGAACGUGGAAAUCUGAUUUCCUCGUUUGUGUUGGAAAGUGGGAGAAGCUGGAAGAUGACAUUCGACCGUAAUGCUACUCCAAAUUAACCAGUUGGUCCGUUAAAUCCCACUCCCCAAAAUGCUGAUUAGUUUUCCAGAUUGGUUCACUCUUCAUGUUUUAUCUUGAAUGUUUCCAGAUCCUUCAUGUUUGUUUUUCUGAAGAAUGAUUUAAUCUUAUGCUGAUAGUCUUUUAGGCGAGGAAAAAAGGGGAAAAUCCUUAUCGGCAUCUGACAGGUAGGAAUUGAUUUAAAGAACUGGGUUUCUCUUAAAGCUGCAUUGUGAGUUGUUGAACUGCUUAAAAUUCAUGAGAAAGAUCAUAAGCACACUCAAAGUUUGGUUCAUCAGUUAGUAAGGAACAUUCUUAUGUAUUAGAAGCAUCACCAAGGUGUUUUCUGCAAGCAUUUUUUUGUUCUUGUCCUGCUGCUGUUGACAUUUAUCUGUCUUUUUUUUUGUUCUUGUCCUGCUGCUGUUGACAUUUAUCUGUCACCAAGGUGUUUUCUUGAUUUUUUGGUGAGGUGUACUCACUCUGAUGAGAAUAGCAACAAUCUUCUCGACAAGUUGCAAGAUGCAUUUGGGAGAGACCAGAACCCUUCCUCUGUUCUUCCCAUGAUUUCAGCUGAGCUUGCAACACUAACAAUAGCUUGAAAAAGAUUCAACUAAGGAUUAGAACAGGAAUUCUUGGUAUUCCAAAGAUAAUAGACAACUACAAAUACAGCAACAUGGGUGUUGGAAGUUACUUCUAUUUCGGUAGAAAGACAUAAAGAUUUUGCUCGACUGUACAAGGAGUCGUCCCUCUAUCGGAGAAACCUAAGUCACAUGGAUACGCCUAUUUGGCCCAAGUAUUCGUGUCUAUAUGGGGAUACGGGUGCAGAUACGGCAUGGAUACGUUUUGGAUCAGGUCUGAAUCAGAUCCGAUCCGAACAAAAAAAACAGAUUUUAAGUUAAGUUGAGUUCUUCUCCCUUUCUCUUUGGGGUUUUUUUUUUCUGUUUUUCUGAUAAAUGAAUGAUGAUAUUGAUAACAAUGUUUUGUGAUAAACAAUGUUUUGUUUGUGACUUUAAGAGUGAACUAUUAAUUUAA